GAUGAACGCUGGCGGCGUGCCUAAUACAUGCAAGUCGAGCGAACAGACGAGGAGCUUGCUCCUCUGACGUUAGCGGCGGACGGGUGAGUAACACGUGGAUAACCUACCUAUAAGACUGGGAUAACUUCGGGAAACCGGAGCUAAUACCGGAUAAUAUAUUGAACCGCAUGGUUCAAUAGUGAAAGACGGUUUUGCUGUCACUUAUAGAUGGAUCCGCGCCGCAUUAGCUAGUUGGUAAGGUAACGGCUUACCAAGGCAACGAUGCGUAGCCGACCUGAGAGGGGGAUCGGCCACACCGGAACUGAGACACGGUCCAGACUCCUACGGGAGGCAGCAGUAGGGAAUCUUCCGCAAUGGGCGAAAGCCUGACGGAGCAACGCCGCGUGAGUGAUGAAGGUCUUCGGAUCGUAAAACUCUGUUAUUAGGGAAGAACAAAUGUGUAAGUAAAUAUGCACGUCUUGACGGUACCUAAUCAGAAAGCCACGGCUAACUACGUG
rnacentral:rRNA from 1 species